GCAUGUGGUUUAAUUCGAAGCAACGCGAAGAACCUUACCAGGCCUUGACAUGCAGAGAACUUUCCAGAGAUGGAUUGGUGCCUUCGGGAACUCUGACACAGGUGCUGCAUGGCUGCGUCAGCUCGUGUCGUGAGAUGUUGGGUUAAGUCCGUAACGAGCGCAACCCUUGUCCUUAGUUACCAGCACGUUAUGGUGGGCACUCUAAGGAGACUGCCGGUGACAAACCGGAGGAAGGUGGGGAUGACGUCAAGUCAUCAUGGCCCUUACGGCCUGGGCUACACACGUGCUACAAGUGGUCGGUACAAAGGGUUGCCAAGCCGCGAGGUGGAGCUAAUCCCAUAAAACCGAUCGUAGUCCGGAUCGCAGUCUGCAACUCGACUGCGUGAAGUCGGAAUCGCUAGUAAUCGUGAAUCAGAAUGUCACGGUGAAUACGUUCCCGGGCCUU
rnacentral:rRNA from 1 species